rnacentral:misc_RNA from 1 species
CAUGAUAUCACAGGGAGUUGGUACCACGAAAGUGCGCCAACUCUGUCUGCAUAUUAUACCCAUGAUUUUGCGUACCAUUUGUUUCCUUGGUGGGCUUGCCCACCAAUAGGACACCAAACAACCCUUUGUAAUUGCAGUCAGCGUCAGAAAACUAUAAUAAUUA